rnacentral:tRNA from 1 species
UCCCCGGUAGCACAGCGGUAGUGCGGCGCUCUGUUAAAGCGAAGGUCGCAGGUUCGAAUCCUGCCCGGGGAG